CUACAGCAACAAGUGGGCGAAUUGCACGCGAAAAUACAAAGGCAUCAUCAACAUAUGUGACCAUUUUGAAUGCUGAAAAGGAGCAGUUUGCUGAAGCACAGAAAAGCUGAUGUGACCACGACCAUCCCAUGUUGAAGCUAUCUGGGAUAUAGCCAACUAGAAUCACCUCGUUGCCGCUGCUAAGAGAAGCUUUAAGUGACCUAAAGAAGCCUAUUCGAAUUUGUGGGACGAAUGUUGGGCAAAGCGGUGCUUACUCUAAAAGAUAAAUUGAAGGAGCUAAAAGUGCAUUCGGUGCUACAAAUCAAGAUCACAACAACCACAAGAAAACAAAACAAGCCAAUAUGAAAAGGCAAUGGUGCUACAAUGCCAACGAUCAAGUUAGGGCGGCACAAAAAGCGGUCGCCCAUGCAUGCGCGAUUUGUAGGAGAAAUUCGCGUGUGCUAUUUAACUUAGAGUAUUGAGAGUAUGACACGUCGCAUCAUGCCAUCAAAUGCUGCAGCAAUAACUCGCGCCGAAACUAAACUAAUAGGUCUAUCGAUAAGUUCGUGCGGUUUUACAACAGAUGGCGUAACUUGAUUAUUAUUCCAUCGAUCCACAUUUCCAAACAUUCAUUGGAGAGCUACUGUCGUAAGGCACAAACGUCAGUAUAAGUUUUUUAUUUAAAGCGUAAACAACAAUAUUUUUACCACACUUGAAAAUGUCGAAUUUCGUGCCAAAUAAUGUGUUUUUGCGGGGAAUUCUUCUUCAUUAUUUUAAUAUGAAGAAAAAAGCAGCCGAAAGUCAUCGUAUCUUGGUGGAAGUUUAUGGUGAGCAUGCUCUAGCUGAGCGAACGUGCCAGAAGUGGUUUGCACGCUUUAAAAGUGGUGAUUUUGGCUUGGAAGACGAAAAACGCGAGGGUGCGCCGCCAAAGUUCAUGGAUACCGAAUUGGAGGAAUUGCUCGAUCAAGAUCCGGCUCAAACGCAAGAAGAGGUUGCAAAAACUUUGGGAGUUGAUCAAUCAACCAUUUCCAAACGUUUAAAAGCCAUGGGAAUGAUCCGAAAGGUAGGCCAUUGGGUGCCGUAUGAA